CGGGGCGGGGGGCGGGGCGCGGCGUCUUCGCGCGUCCCGCGCCCCAACCUGGGAUUCCCCCGCGGGUGGGCGGCGCCUGCCGACGCUCUGGUGGUUGCCCCGCCCGCGUGCGGCCAGCCCUCGGGCAGUGGGAGCCCGCCUGCGUCCUCGGGUCCGCGCAGCCCCCCGCGCGGGCCCAGCUGGCGCGGCCGCCGGACUGUCUACCCGACCGCGGGCCCCGGCGAGCGGACCCCGCGCUCGCGGCCAGUUUGCCUCCCCCAAAAUGAGAAGGUUGGGGAGGCACUUCAAGGGCCGGAAGCCUGAAUCUGCCUGUGCCCAUGGCGGUAGGACGAGCACCUGGCCGGCGGGCCUGUCACCGCGGCUACUUCCGGAGCUACUCCCCCCACCCCGAGAUGGCAGAAACUAGCACCGGGUCCCACCGCGCUCACCUCGCAGGCUCCCUCUUGGCGCCCAAAACCAAGCAGAAGCCACAAUCUAUAGAGAUGCAGUAACCUGUGACAUGAGAGAGGCUGAAACUCCAUAAAGGCAAAGCCCUGUUCUGCCUGUGCACCGCUGUUUGCUAAGCAGAGUGCCUGCGCAGAAGAGGCAUUCACACAUUAGUUAAAUGAUGAAUAACCGGAGGGGAUUCCAGAUGAGAAGCAGAGAUUCUACAUGAAGCAGUGAUGGGAAGGAUAAAGCCCCACUAUCUUUUCUCAGCUCCUCCCCAACUGGCUACAGAUUGGAAAUCUUAUUACCCUCAAAGACAGCUCCCCGUUUCAUUGUCUCCCAUCCUCCUCAUUUCUCAGAGACAGAUGCUAUGAGAUCAUUGCAGUCUUUUGGAGAUCCAGGUUCCCAAUCCCAUAAUAUAAGGCUCUAUUCAGGAGAGGAGAGAUAUGAAUACUUCCAAGGAAGUACUCUUGGGCACAUCAUAUUAGUUAAUUAUCAUCAUCUCAUCAAACCAUCACCUUAUUGAAUACUCCCAAAGAUAAAUCUUUGUGUUCUUAUUAACCAUUUCCCUAAAAUAGUAGGAGACCGAGGAUAAUCUGUCCCUGACUUCUUCCUUGGAGAUUCGUGUUUCCACAAGUCACAGCCAACCAUAGUUUUAAAUGGUCAAAAACAGAAACAACAACUUCUCUGUGUUAGCCAAGAAUCACUCAAUUGCAAGUAAUCCAUACCUGAUUCAAACAACUCUAGGAAACUUUUAAAUUUAUUGUUACAUAACUGCAAAGUUUAGGAUUUGCCAGAUGUACGUAUGUCUGGAGCUAGGUUUUCAAAAUAUAUCUCAGUCUCUCUAUCUCAGUUUUCCUGAUGGCUGUAUUCUUUGCCAAAUCUCUCCAUUGGUAAAAGCAGUGGUUUUUGAAGUGCAGCGAAGAAGGAAACCCUUUCCAGCAUCCCUUUCAUUCCUACAAAAGGACCACGAUAAGCUCUGCUUGGGUCACAUGCCCAAGCUUACAUACCUCUCCCUGAUUCCUGCAGAGUGGUGUUCUCUUGUGGGCUAACCUCUGUGGGGCAGGGGGACAGUGCAGAGAGGAGGUUGAUUGGCAGUUCCACUAGUAUCACAGAAAUAGAGGAAGAGGUAGCCCCACAGGGAAGGAAUGUGAGGAGACAAGAAAGAAACUGGUGUCCACUCUCUAGUUCCACUCCCCUGCUCGUUCAGAUGUCCCCUAGCCCAUCCUAGAGGCAUCUGGACCACGUGUUCUUCGUGUGUUACCACCAUCCAGCUCCAGCGACCACUCCAGGCACAUCUGCCCUGUCUCCGAGGCACAUAUGCCUUUGAAAUAGUGAUUUCAUUUCCUUUGGAUAAAUACCCAGAAGUGAAAUUACUGGAUCAUAUGGUAG